rnacentral:rRNA from 1 species
CGCGCAGGCGGUCGUUCAAGUCGCGUGUGAAAGCCCCCGGCUCAACCGGGGAGGGUCACGCGAUACUGAUCGACUCGAAGGCAGGAGAGGGAAGUGGAAUUCCCGGUGUAGUGGUGAAAUGCGUAGAUAUCGGGAGGAACACCAGUGGCGAAGGCGACUUCCUGGCCUGUUCUUGACGCUGAGGCGCGAAAGCUAGGGGAGCAAACG